AAGAAGUUGGUUAUUUAGAAGCAUGUAGUGGAAAGUGUUGGCUUGUUCCUUUUAGGAUCGUGAAAGAAAACAGUAUAGUAAGGCACCUGAUGCAGGGUAAUGAACCUAUAAGUAAAAGGAAAUCUUGCUCAAUGGAGGAAUAAUGAAGUGGAUGGCAUGAAGAUGCUGGCCAGGGGGUGCUGGAGUCCAGGAUCUGCUUAAAGCAGUUCACACGCUCUGGCAGAACAUCACUGUUGAAGAGUGAGGCUAGAAGUGAUCCUGAACAAAUCAGUAGUAGCAGAUGAUCCAAGAGGAGGUGCUUUCUGCUGCCCCUCAAUGGAAUGACAAAGUUUGCAAAGAGUUUAUGUCACUGAAGAUGAUCUCAUUACAGCUCAGUCUCAGACAAAGCACCUCAAACCACAGUCAUCAGAUAUUCCUAUUGAGAUGGCGUACUUCCAGUGACACUGAAUUUCCAGGAUGCAAACUGUGCUAAAUACUUAGUAUUUCCUUCAUUGAGAUCCUGAACUUUAAAAGGCCCUUUUGUUGCUUUUGGCAAAUAGCUAGAUUUGAAUUUCUGGAGCUGCUGUGUACAUUCUUCUUCAUAGAGAAGAAGUGAAUAAAAGAUUAGGAAUAUAUCAUUUGUGAACAGGGAUGUCAUUUUGGAUUGGUAAGUCCCAGGUCACAUUCCCAUUGCUAUUGUGAUACUAGGGAUAUACAUAAGACCAAAAAAGCAUUUUUCACACAUCAGACCCAAGGUCAUUAACUACCUUAAACUCUGCAGAUUGAAAUGCAGCGUAAUGUCUUCCCAUUUCUCUGAAGUCAUCAGAGGCAAGGGGUUCUCACAUAUUCUCCUCUCCUGAAUGUUAACUCUAGAAGAAGGACCAGAUCUGAAAGAUGGAGAAUAUCUGCUCUUCCUUUCUUCCAGAGAUAAAGCAUUCACAAGAUAAGAGAAGACAGCAGAGCAUGUUCAUCUUGUCAAAUGACACUUUAACUGGAAUACAACUUCUUAACUGCUGUGUUUGUACAAAUUUAGCAUAUAGAGUGAUCCUGGAAAGUUUCUGAGAUCCAGCGUGUACAGCAUAUCUUUCUCCUCCCAGCAUGUUCUUGUGCAGUCUCUCAGCAAUAAGAAGCAGAACAGAUCUAUUUCAACAGCAUGGCUGGAGUCUUUAAUUUACUAUGCUGAAAGCUAGAGGUGGCAGAAGGUAUUAUCAGCCUGCAUUCAUGCAAAGCAAGGUGAGCAUCACCCUGUAGAGGAUCAUUAAAUCAUUGUCAAACAGACACUUGAAGAAGAGGAAAACAAACAAACAAGAAGGAUCUAUGGCAUAGAGCCUUAACUAUUUGACAGGUAAAUCUACUGUGAUUGCUAUGAGCAUAUUUGCACAGAUUUGUUCUUCUUUAUACUGUUAUUACAGCCUAAUUCAUUUACAGUCUGUAUCUCUAAAAACUGGCAUGAUUACAUUGCAGUAUUUUCUGUCUUCCUCUUUACUGGCCUUGACAAAAACUCAUGCAAAUCAAAUUAAGUGGAAGAGUAUUUCAGACAAAACUUCAGAAAACAGUCAGUGAAUGCAUGCAACCUAUUCUCACCACAUAAGUCUUUAUUUCCUCAGGCAAUUCUAUAAAUAUCAGCCUAUUUAUUUCUCAUUAAGUCCAAUGUCACUGAAAGUGAAUCGGACCCUUAAUAUUGUUCCCUAUGCUUGUUUAUGAUGACCACCACACUGCCACAGAAAGGAAAGGUGUUUUUUUCCACUGGAGCUAAACAUGAGGAAGUUUGAGUCAGGAGAUGUUAUACAAAUGAUCAGGUAUUCAUGUAGCCUGCUUCUUGAAAUAGUUCCCAUGGCAUCUGUAAACCUGAUGUGUCUGCAUAGAAUUCUGUAUGGCAAGUUGACAUACCAUGUUAAUUAAAGUACAUUGGCUGAAUAGUCCAUUGAUACAAGCCACUUUACAUACUCAUUU
rnacentral:lncRNA from 7 species